GAUGGCAAAGUCAGCUCAAAACAUUCUGGCUGAAAUGGAUGGAUAUUAAAAAAAUCUUUCAAUAACCAGUAUUGAAGGAAUCUGAUUCUCAUCACUGCAGAAUUACACUUGUGUUCCUCCACCUCAGGGCAGUGGUAUAGCUGGAUUCUAACAUAAGCUGCCUUCUUUCAGGUCAGCUGCCUCUGAUGCCCAACAGGCCAGCAACAGGAUAGGAUUUGGAGAAACCAUGAGAGCCCCAGUUUCCUGAGCCUCAUUUGCGGUUGUGGCA
rnacentral:lncRNA from 1 species